UGGGGAAUAUUGGACAAUGGGCGAAAGCCUGAUCCAGCAAUGCCGCGUGAGUGAUGAAGGCCCUAGGGUUGUAAAGCUCUUUUACCCGGGAUGAUAAUGACAGUACCGGAGGAAUAAGACCCGGCCUAAGCUACCCGUGCCAGCAGCCGCGGUAAUACGGAGGGGGCUAGCGUUGUUCGGAAUUACUGGGCGUAAAGCGCACGUAGGCGGCUUUGUAAGUUAGAGGUGAAGGCCCGGGGCUCAACUCCGGAAUUGCCUUUAAGACUGCAUCGCUAGAAUUGUGGAGAGGUAAGUGGAAUUCCGAGUGUAGAGGUGAAAUUCGUAGAUAUUCGGAAGAACACCAGUGGCGAAGGCGACUUUACUGGACACAUAUUGACGCUGAGGUGCGAAAGCGUGGGGAGCAAAACA
rnacentral:rRNA from 1 species